UAGGGAAUCUUCGGUCAAUGGACGAAAGUCUGACCGAGCAACGCCGCGUGAGUGAAGAAGGUUUUCGGAUCGUAAAACUCUGUUGGUAGAGAAGAACGUUGGUGAGAGUGGAAAGCUCAUCAAGUGACGGUAACUACCCAGAAAGGGACGGCUAACUACGUGCCAG
rnacentral:rRNA from 1 species